rnacentral:rRNA from 1 species
AGCGAACGCUGGCGGCAGGCUUAACACAUGCAAGUCGAACGGGCAUCUUCGGAUGUCAGUGGCAGACGGGUGAGUAACACGUGGGAACGUACCCUUCGGUUCGGAAUAACUCAGGGAAACUUGAGCUAAUACCGGAUACGCCCUUUUGGGGAAAGGUUUACUGCCGAAGGAUCGGCCCGCGUCUGAUUAGCUUGUUGGUGUGGUAACGGCCUACCAAGGCGACGAUCAGUAGCUGGUCUGAGAGGAUGAUCAGCCACACUGGGACUGAGACACGGCCCAGACUCCUACGGGAGGCAGCAGUGGGGAAUAUUGGACAAUGGGCGCAAGCCUGAUCCAGCCAUGCCGCGUGAGUGAUGAAGGCCUUAGGGUUGUAAAGCUCUUUUGUCCGGGACGAUAAUGACGGUACCGGAAGAAUAAGCCCCGGCUAACUUCGUG